AACGAACGCUGGCGGCAGGCUUAACACAUGCAAGUCGAGCGCCACCUUCGGGUGGAGCGGCGGACGGGUGAGUAACGCGUGGGAACGUGCCCUUCUCUAAGGAAUAGCCACUGGAAACGGUGAGUAAUACCUUAUACGCCCUUCGGGGGAAAGAUUUAUCGGAGAAGGAUCAGCCCGCGUUAGAUUAGGUAGUUGGUGGGGUAACGGCCUACCAAGCCGACGAUCUAUAGCUGGUUUGAGAGGAUGAUCAGCAACACUGGGACUGAGACACGGCCCAGACUCCUACGGGAGGCAGCAGUAAGGAAUCUUGGACAAUGGGGGAAACCCUGAUCCAGCCAUGCCGCGUGUGUGACGAAGGCCCUAGGGUCGUAAAGCACUUUCGCCAGGGAUGAUAAUGACAGUACCUGGUAAAGAACCCCGG
rnacentral:rRNA from 1 species